GUGUAGUGGUUAGUACAUCUGCUUUACAUGCAGAAGGUCCUGGGUUCGCACCCCAG
rnacentral:tRNA from 1 species